rnacentral:tRNA from 4 species
GCCGGGGUAGCUCAGCCUGGUUAGAGUGCCAGUUAAUUGGUAAUCUGGAGGUCGUGGGUUCGAAACCCAUCCCCGGCA